rnacentral:rRNA from 1 species
AUAGCGUAUAUUAAAGUUGUUGCAGUUAAAAAGCUCGUAGUUGAACUUCAGGCUUGGUCGGGCGGUCCGCUUAACGGCGUGUACUUUCUGACUGGGGCUUUUCUCUUGGUGAGCCGGCGUGCCCUUUAUUGGUGUGCGUCGGGGAACCAGGACUUUUACCUUGAGAAAAUUAGAGUGUUCAAAGCAGGCCUAUGCCCGAAUACAUUAGCAUGGAAUAAUAAAAUAGGACGUGCGGUUCUAUUUUGUUGGUUUCUAGAGUCGCCGUAAUGAUUAAUAGGGAUAGUUGGGGGCAUUGGUAUUGAGUCGCUAGAGGUGAAAUUCUUGGAUUGACUCAAGACCAACUAUUG